rnacentral:rRNA from 1 species
UACGUAGGGUGCAAGCGUUGUCCGGAAUUACUGGGCGUAAAGCGUGCGUAGACGGUUAUUUAAGUCGGGUGUGAAAGCCCCGGGCUCAACCUGGGAAUUGCAUUCGAGACUGAAUAGCUAGGGUACGGUAGAGGGAAGCGGAAUUUCCGGUGUAGCGGUGAAAUGCGUAGAUAUCGGAAGGAACAUCAGUGGCGAAAGCGGCUUCCUGGACCAGUACCGACGUUCAGGCACGAAAGCGUGGGGAGCAAACAGG